GACAGAGGUGCCAAGCGUUAGGCGGAAUCACUGGGCUUAAAGCGUGUGUAGGUGGAUUUGUAAGUACCUUGUGAAAUCCCAUGGCUCAACCAUGGAACUGCUCGGUAUACUGCGAAUCUUGAGCACUUAGGGGCUACCGGAACAAAUGGUGGAGCGGUGAAAUGCGUAGAUAUCGUAAGGAAGACCAGUGGCGAAGGCGGGUCUCUGGACAGUUCCUGACACUGAGGCACGAAGGCCAGGGGAGGCAAAACGGG
rnacentral:rRNA from 1 species